rnacentral:rRNA from 1 species
UACGUAGGGUGCGAGCGUUAAUCGGAAUUACUGGGCGUAAAGCGUGCGCAGGCGGUUCGUUGUGUCGGCGGUGAAAUCCCCGGGCUCAACCUGGGAAUGGCCGUUGAAACUGGCGAACUGGAGUGUGGCAGAGGGGGGUGGAAUUCCGCGUGUAGCAGUGAAAUGCGUAGAGAUGCGGAGGAACACCGAUGGCGAAGGCAGCCCCCUGGGCUGACACUGACGCUCAGGCGCGAAAGCGUGGGGAGCAAACAGG